rnacentral:ncRNA from 2 species
GCAAAGUAGGAAUUUACGCGUUAAGUGAGAAAGAGACGGGAAGUUGCUUUUUCUACGAAAAGCCUUGUUAAUAAACAGGCUUGCGGUGUAAAUUUCGCAUUCCGUUG